UACCAGCACCCCGAGUGGUCGGGACGUUUAUUGGGCCUAAAGCAUCCGUAGCCGGUUCUACAAGUCUUCCGUUAAAUCCAUCUGCUUAACAGAUGGGCUGCGGAAGAUACUAUAGAGCUAGGAGGCGGGAGAGGCAAGCGGUACUCGAUGGGUAGGGGUAAAAUCCGUUGAUCCAUUGAAGACCACCAGUGGCGAAGGCGGCUUGCCAGAACGCGCUCGACGGUGAGGGAUGAAAGCUGGGGGAGCAACCGG
rnacentral:rRNA from 1 species